rnacentral:rRNA from 1 species
AGUGAACGCUGGCGGUAGGCCUAACACAUGCAAGUCGAACGGCAGCACAGUAAGAGCUUGCUCUUACGGGUGGCGAGUGGCGGACGGGUGAGGAAUACAUCGGAAUCUACUUUUUCGUGGGGGAUAACGUAGGGAAACUUACGCUAAUACCGCAUACGACCUACGGGUGAAAGCAGGGGAUCUUCGGACCUUGCGCGAUUGAAUGAGCCGAUGUCGGAUUAGCUAGUUGGCGGGGUAAAGGCCCACCUAGGCGACGAUCCGUAGCUGGUCUGAGAGGAUGAUCGGCCACACUGGAACUGAGACACGGUCCAGACUCCUACGGGAGGCAGCAGUGGGGAAUAUUGGACAAUGGGCGCAAGCCUGAUCCAGCCAUACCGCGUGGGUGAAGAAGGCCUUCGGGUUGUAAAGCCCUUUUGUUGGGAAAGAAAAGCAGCAGGUUAAUACCCCGCUGUUCUGACGGUACCCAAAGAAUAAGCACCGGCUAACUUCGUG